UCCCCACGUCCCCACGUCCCUAUGGCCCCAUAUCCCCAUGUCCCCGUGUCCCCAUGUCCGUGUGUUCCCACAUCCCCAAGCCUUGUGUCCCCAUGUCCCUAAACCCUACAUCUGUGUCCCUACCUCUCUGUCCUCGUUCCCAUGUCCCUGUUCCCUCAUCCUAGAAGCUCUCCCAAAAUCUGUGACCCCACAUCCCUGUGUCCCCGUGUCCCCAAAGCCCUCCCAUGUCCCUAUAUCCCCGUGUCCCCAAGCUCUCCAUUCCCAUGUCCCCAUUGCUCUCCCAAGCCUGUCGUCCCCAUGUCCCCACAGCCCGGUGUCCCCAUGUCCCCACACUCCUAGGCCCUGUGUCCCCAUGUUCCACAUCCCUACAUCCCCACGCUGUGUCCCCAAGCCCUACAUCUGUGUCCUUGUGUCCCCCAGUCCUACAUCAGCGUCCCCAUCCCCACGUCUGUCCCCAAUCCCUGCGUCCCCACAUCCCCACUUUCCCAAGCUGUGCCCCCAAGCCCUACAUCCGCGUCCCUGUCCCCACGUCCCCAAGCCCCAAUGCCUGUGAGUCCCCAGGCGCCGCACCCUUGACUUCCAUGUCCCCGUGUCCCCAAACCCCGUGUCCCCACCUCCCCACAGGUCCCACUGCAGCGCUACUGGGCCGACCCAUCGCUGGACCCGGGCGAGCGCUUCCUGCGGGAUUACAUCCUGAACGACGGCUACCGGCGCGAGGAGGAGGAGGAGGAAGAGGAGGAGGAGGAGGAAGGCGAGGGGGCCCCCCCCGCUCUGAGCGUGGCCGACUCAUCGGAUGAAGGUGAGCUGUUCCUGGCGAGGCAGGAGGACUUUGAGAGGAGCUACAACUUCCGCUUCCAGGAGCCGGGGGCACAGCAGGUUUGGGGGGGGGGAUGUGGGGGGGGACAGGGGAUGUGAGG
rnacentral:lncRNA from 1 species